rnacentral:rRNA from 1 species
GACGAACGCUGGCGGCGUGCUUAACACAUGCAAGUCGAACGGAAAGGCCCUGCUUUUGUGGGGUGCUCGAGUGGCGAACGGGUGAGUAACACGUGAGUAACCUGCCCUUGACUUUGGGAUAACUUCAGGAAACUGGGGCUAAUACCGGAUAGGAGCUCCUGCUGCAUGGUGGGGGUUGGAAAGUUUCGGCGGUUGGGGAUGGACUCGCGGCUUAUCAGCUUGUUGGUGGGGUAGUGGCUUACCAAGGCUUUGACGGGUAGCCGGCCUGAGAGGGUGACCGGCCACAUUGGGACUGAGAUACGGCCCAGACUCCUACGGGAGGCAGCAGUGGGGAAUAUUGCACAAUGGGCGGAAGCCUGAUGCAGCAACGCCGCGUGCGGGAUGACGGCCUUCGGGUUGUAAACCGCUUUCGCCUGUGACGAAGCGUGAGUGACGGGAAUGGGUAAAGAAGCACAGGCUAACUACGU